CACCUGCGUGGUCAAUAACUUCCAGAGCAAGGCGCCCGCGGCCCCGAAGCCGGCGCCCCCCGAGAGCCUGGCCAGCGUCCCCGGCGUGGGGCUGCCCUGCGUCGAGAGCCCCCUGGAGAAGUUCAGCGUAGCCCAGCGGGUCAGGGAACCCCCAGAAGAGCAGGAUUUCUCCACGCUGCUCACCCGAGGCCUGGAGAGGCAGCUCGCUCGCUCCCUCCGCACGGGGGGCCACGCUGGGGCGGCUUGGCCCUACGAGAUCACAGAGCUCUGCUCCCAGCGAUCACCUGACCCCCAGCUGUGCCUCUUCCCCACCACCCCCGACGUGCUCAUCCCCUCCCGCUCCGUCACCAGCGAGGUCUGACGGAGGCACUGCCCCCUGGGGAGGGGAGGCGGGAGGCUGCCCCCCCACACCCAGGACACCCCUCUGCCUAUUGCCCCCCCCCCCAACCAGCACCAUCCCUUUAACCAAUUCCUCCCUGGUUUGUGUGGGGUUCGUAAUGACACACUCGGAAGUGUGGCACCGGGUGGGGGGGCUAAAACCUCACCCUCCUUUUCUAUAGGGUCCAGCUUUCUCCCUCCCCCUCUGGCCCCGGAUGGCCCCCAUCCUGCUGCCAGGGCAAUGAGUGGGAGGUUCAGUCCCUGCCCAUCCUGCAGCCGCUGAAGUUGGGGUGAUGGGAACAGAAUUAGGGGCCCCCACUGAGAGCCCCAAAGGGCCCCCCAGCUGAGGGCUGCCUCCCCUCUAUUGAGGCUGGGCAGGUGGGAGACGGGAUGGGGGCGUGGGGGUUGUAUGUCAGUCUGAUUGGGGGUGGG